AUACUUACCUGGCAGGGGGAAUAUCACGAUCAAGAAGGUGGUUGCCCCAGGGUGAGGCUCUUCCAUUGCACACUUCGGUUGGGUUGACCCCUGUGAUUUCUCCAAAUGUGGGAAACUCAACUGCAGAAUUUAUGCAUCUCAAUAAACACUGGCUUUGC